rnacentral:rRNA from 1 species
AGAGUUUGAUCCUGGCUCAGAUUGAACGCUGGCGGCAGGCUUAACACAUGCAAGUCGAACGAUGAUUUUCCAGCUUGCUGGAAAUGAUUAGUGGCGGACGGGUGAGUAACAUUUAGGAAUCUGCCUGGUAGUGGGGGAUAGCUCGGGGAAACUCGAAUUAAUACCGCAUACGACCUACGGGUGAAAGGGUGCUUAGGCACUCGCUAUCAGAUGAGCCUAAAUCAGAUUAGCUAGUUGGUGGGGUAAAGGCCUACCAAGGCGACGAUCUGUAACUGGUCUGAGAGGAUGAUCAGUCACACCGGAACUGAGACACGGUCCGGACUCCUACGGGAGGCAGCAGUGGGGAAUAUUGGACAAUGGGGGGAACCCUGAUCCAGCCAUGCCGCGUGUGUGAAGAAGGCCUUUUGGUUGUAAAGCACUUUAAGCAGGGAGGAAGAGCGAAUGGUUAAUAGCCAAUCGUGGUGACGUUACCUGCAGAAUAAGCACCGGCUAACUCUGUGCCAGCAGCCGCGGUAAUACAGAGGGUGCGAGCGUUAAUCGGAAUUACUGGGCGUAAAGCGAGUGCAGGUGGCCUAUUAAGUCACAUGUGAAAUCCCCGGGCUUAACCUGGGAACUGCAUGUGAUACUGGUAGAGCUAGAAUAUGUGAGAGGGGGGUAGAAUUCCAGGUGUAGCGGUGAAAUGCGUAGAGAUCUGGAGGAAUACCGAUGGCGAAGGCAGCCCCCUGGCAUAAUAUUGACACUCAGACUCGAAAGCGUGGGUAGCAAACAGGAUUAGAUACCCUGGUAGUCCACGCCGUAAACGAUGUCUACUAGCCGUUGGGGCCCUUGAGGCUUUAGUGGCGCAGUUAACGCGAUAAGUAGACCGCCUGGGGAGUACGGCCGCAAGGUUAAAACUCAAAUGAAUUGACGGGGGCCCGCACAAGCGGUGGAGCAUGUGGUUUAAUUCGAUGCAACGCGAAGAACCUUACCUGGUCUUGACAUAGUGAGAAUCCUGCAGAGAUGCGGGAGUGCCUUCGGGAAUUCACAUACAGGUGCUGCAUGGCUGUCGUCAGCUCGUGUCGUGAGAUGUUGGGUUAAGUCCCGCAACGAGCGCAACCCUUUUCCUUACUUGCUAGCAGGUUAAGCUGAGAACUUUAAGGAUACUGCCAGUGACAAACUGGAGGAAGGCGGGGACGACGUCAAGUCAUCAUGGCCCUUACGACCAGGGCUACACACGUGCUACAAUGGUAGGUACAGAGGGCUGCUACACAGCGAUGUGAUGCUAAUCUCAAAAAGCCUAUCGUAGUCCGGAUUGGAGUCUGCAACUCGACUCCAUGAAGUCGGAAUCGCUAGUAAUCGCGGAUCAGAAUGUCGCGGUGAAUACGUUCCCGGGCCUUGUACACACCGCCCGUCACACCAUGGGAGUCUAUUGCACCAGAAGUAGGUAGCCUAACGAAAGAGGGCGCUUACCACGGUGUGGUCGAUGACUGGGGUGAAGUCGUAACAAGGUAACC